GCGGGUAUUACAGAGACUUAGACUUUGAGUAUGUCAUGGGAAUGUCAGAAGAAAUUAAUUUGCAGACAAAAGCUUCAAGCUGAUUUUAAUGUACGAGUGCAGGUAACCUCUUCCCCAGGCUUGAUAAGCUGACCUCUGUUCCCACUUGUCUUACUUACAUACAGAAGGUUCUAGGUAUUUUUACAGGUCCAGUUAAGGUUGAAUGCAUGCAGUUCCAGAAUUUUGAUUUGCCGUGCUCACACAUCCUACAUGCAACCGCGCACAAGAGCGCGCAGAGACGCGUAGACACAGCGCGAGUGCGCUCACGCGCUCGUCUGUUUAUGUGUGUGUGUAGACGGAACCGUUGCGUUAGAAAAUGAGCAAAGACUCGCCCACAUUUUCCAUAGACGCUCCAUAAAAUCGUUUGCCCAAUAUCCUUCCCUUUAAUAAGUUUCUAGGCUGCCUGUCCCUUUAAACGAGUCAUUUUUUCUUUAAUCCUGAACUGAUGGCUUAAAUGCGGAGACAGAUAGAGAACAGAGGGUGCGCUUUAAUUAUCAACGUCUAGUAUUUUUUUGUUUCUGUCGCCGUCAAAGUUCAUUUUUAGAACUGAAUACAGCUCAUUUGAUUCAGAAUGAAACGCCUUUAAGAGGUGACUGACAGCAUCUUUGGAUACAGGUCCGGGACUGCACAACUGGAAAACUUAACGCAUUCAUAGAAAAAAGCUCAUUGUGGAAAUAUGCCUCAGAAAUGUGAGUGAAGAAACUGUCGUGAGGAUCAUGCAUUCUGCUCCAAUGAGGUCAAAGUGACAGUUCGACAUGUAUGAGAAGAACCGAAAAACACCAGAUGUUUCACCGCCACAGGGUCAUUUUCAGAGCACAACCUGCACAUGCGCUUUUGGUGACUUUCUGAUUGCAGGCAACCUGCAAUUACAAAUAUCAUUUGACUUCCAUCAUAGCCAAGUAACCCCAGCACUGCAGGUUAAUGCACAUAGUAGAGUGUAAUGCAGGGCCUCUGGAGACGGCAAAUUAAUAUUCUGCUGGUAGUAAGUUUGAUUAAAUGGGCCUCUAAUCUUUGAUCCCUA
ensembl:lncRNA